rnacentral:rRNA from 1 species
ACCUACGGGGGGCAGCAGUGGGGAAUAUUGGGCAAUGGGCGCAAGCCUGACCCAGCAACGCCGCGUGAAGGAAGACGGUUUUCGGAUUGUAAACUUCUAUCAAUAGGGAAGAAAGAAAUGACGGUACCUAAAUAAGAAGCCCCGGCUAACUACGUGCCAGCAGCCGCGGUAAUACGUAGGGGGCAAGCGUUAUCCGGAAUUACUGGGUGUAAAGGGAGAGUAGGCGGCAAGGUAAGCGAUAUGUGAAAGCCUUAAGCUUAACUUAAGGAUGGCAUAACGAACUAUCUAGCUAGAGUACAGGAGAG